rnacentral:tmRNA from 1 species
ACUGGUUUCGACGGGGGUUUGGAGUCAUUAGUAGCGAGCCGUGUUUUGCUUGGGAGCACGUCAAAAACUGAGCAUUAAAGAUAAACGCAAACGAUAAUUACGCUUUAGCUGCCUAAUAGCGCAGCUCGUUUCUCCCUAACCUCCCGCCGUUAGGAUAGAAACGUCAUCUAUGCGGGGAACGUCUUAAGGGAUGCCUUGACCUUAAAGAUGAAUAAUUAGGGCUGGUCAAAUCUGUAGUAUGUUGUUGGACGACAGAGGAGACGAGAUUUAAAACAACAACUACGCUCGUAGAAGCUGGUGGUAAAGGGCCUUCGGACAGGGGUUCGAUUCA